rnacentral:rRNA from 1 species
UACGAAGGGAGCUAGCGUUGUUCGGAAUCACUGGGCGUAAAGCGCACGUAGGCGGACUCUUAAGUCGGUGGUGAAAUCCUGGAGCUCAACUCCAGAACUGCCUUCGAUACUGAGAGUCUCGAGUCCGAGAGAGGUGAGUGGAACUGCGAGUGUAGAGGUGAAAUUCGUAGAUAUUCGCAAGAACACCAGUGGCGGAAGGCGGCUCACUGGCUCGGUACUGACGCUGAGGUGCGAAAGCGUGGGGAGCAAACAGGGAUAGAAACC